rnacentral:lncRNA from 7 species
AAAGGAAACAUUUCGAGAUGCCUUUCUGCCAGGGCGGGAUUCCAAUCCUCUCGUCCUAGACCCCCUCGUAUCUCCAGGAGAAUCUGGUUGCUACCCUUACGACGGUCGAAGUUGUCAAUGGCGAGGUGGCAUGCCUUCGCACUCACCUAGUGGAGGCGGACCGCCGCAUCAAUUAGAGCUUGAGGUGAUGGGUCUCUGUGAGGGAGCGGAUAGGGUGGUUUCCCUCAUGUGUGACCAAGGCAUUGAUCGAGAAGAGUGCCUUCUCGAUGUUGCAACAAGGUUUGCCAAGUCGUCUGUCAUGGUGCCUGUCGAGGUGCUUCCUAGGCUCUAACCUUUGUUCAGUUAUGAUCGAACUACGAGCUUGGCACUGGUGACCUUCUGGGGGAUGCGACCGCCAGCACCUUGGAGGAUUUUGAGGAUGACUUUAGCAUGGCCUCUGAGGCCAUGGUUGACCUCCUUCUGCUUGAGGAUGUAAUCAAUGGUUCCCCCUAGCUAAGGCAUGACCGGCCGACUGCAGGUCGCUUUGGCCAUGAGACUGUCCGAGCGCACCUCACAAUGAGUUCUUGUAAUGUCCUAGUAUCUUUUUUAAAUUGGAUCCAGAGCGGGU